ACGGAAGGUAGCAGUGGGGAAUUUUGCGCAAUGGGGGAAACCCUGACGCAGCAACGCCGCGUGCGGGAUGGAGGCCUUCGGGCUGUAAACCGCUUUCAGCAGGGAAGACUUCGACGGUACCUGCAGAAGAAGCUCCGGCUAACUACGUGCCAGCAGCCGCGGUAAUACGUAGGGGGCGAGCGUUAUCCGGAUUCAUUGGGCGUAAAGCGCGCGUAGGCGGCUGCCUAAGCGGAGUUUCUAAUCUUGGGGCUCAACCUCAAGCCGGACUCCGAAUUGGGCGGCUCGAGUGCGGUAGGGGCAGGCGGAAUUCCACGUGUAGCGGUGAAAUGCACAGAUAUGUGGAGGAACACCGAUGGCGAAGGCAGCCUGCUGGGCCGUCACUGACGCUGAGGCGCGAAAGCCGGGGGAGCGAACAGGAUUAGAUACCCUGGUA
rnacentral:rRNA from 1 species